rnacentral:rRNA from 1 species
ACACUCCUGCGGGAGGCAGCAGUGGGGAAUUUUGGACAAUGGGCGAAAGCCUGAUCCAGCAAUGCCGCGUGAGUGAAGAAGGCCUUCGGGUUGUAAAGCUCUUUUGUCAGGGAAGAAACGGUGAAAGCUAAUAUCUUUUGCUAAUGACGGUACCUGAAGAAUAAGCACCGGCUAACUACGUGCCAGCAGCCGCGGUAAUACGUAGGGUGCAAGCGUUAAUCGGAAUUACUGGGCGUAAAGCGUGCGCAGGCGGUUUUGUAAGUCUGAUGUGAAAUCCCCGGGCUCAACCUGGGAAUUGCAUUGGAGACUGCAAGGCUAGAAUCUGGCAGAGGGGGGUAGAAUUCCACGUGUAGCAGUGAAAUGCGUAGAUAUGUGGAGGAACACCGAUGGCGAAGGCAGCCCCCUGGGUCAAGAUUGACGCUCAUGCACGAAAGCGUGGGGAGCAAACAGGAUGAGAAACCCGAGUAGUCCCAUG